UACGUAGGGCGCAAGCGUUGUCCGGAAUUAUUGGGCGUAAAGAGCUCGUAGGCGGCUUGUCACGUCGGGUGUGAAAGCCCGGGGCUUAACCCCGGGUCUGCAUUCGAUACGGGCUAGCUAGAGUGUGGUAGGGGAGAUCGGAAUUCCUGGUGUAGCGGUGAAAUGCGCAGAUAUCAGGAGGAACACCGAGUGGCAAGGCGGUCUCUGGGCCAUUACUGACACUGAGAAGCGAAAGCAUGGGGAGCGAACAGG
rnacentral:rRNA from 1 species